UCCUCUAGUCCAGCCUAGCCACUAGCCCAAGCUCUAGGAGCUCCCGAGCCCUCCUAUGGCCGCCAUGGCCGCCGCCUCUGACCUCCUAAAUUCUAGGAGCUCCAUUCUCCCUCUAGCCACCACCAGUCACUUCACCAAACUCCGGCGGACCCUCCCAGUUCCUCCACUCGAUUGCCGGAGCCCUGCAGCCCCGUUCCCAUCUCCACCCGAAGACCCCUCCGCCGCAUGCUCAACUGCGACCAUUCCUGAGCUCCCCGGCGUCUUCCGCGGCCGGGAACAGAUCCGCCUUGUCCUCCUGAGCAUUUUGAGAGGUCGCUCGUCCUGUACGGUGGCCGGACUCGCCGGCAGUCGCCGUCGGGGUGGCCACCUCCCUCAGCCCGAUGCGCUCCCGAGCGGGAGGUUGAAGACGGUCAGGGCCAGGCGGGCCCCUCCCUGUGAACCCCGCUCGUUAGCCACACGCGUUGACCCGCCCCCGCCAUGUCAGCAUAGGUCCCUGGCAGAAAACUCCUCCUAACUUUUUAUCCGUAACUCCGAUUGAGCCCCUUCCGAGAGUGUACCCUUUCUGGCGAUUCUUUCCGCGGUCGUUCCGCACUUCUCCCCGGAGCCUUCUUCAUCUCCAAGCAAGCUAAAACCACCAUUUGCAUGAUAGCCAUGCAGAAGCAUUGGUUUUCAACUUGAAUCUUUAAUAAUUGUCUGUUUGUUUUGCUACUGCUGUCGGUAUUUCAGUCAUGCUUAUGGAUCGGUGUUUACCGUCAUGCUUUGUUUUCUUGCGCUCUGUUAUUAUGCUCCUCAUGCCAGUAUUAUUUUCUUAUGGACCAUGUUUGGUAGUAUUAUAUGUUGGUGAUGGUCUUCGGUACAUGACUAUCAUCUGUUCCGAGUACCGCCGUUAUGCAUGUUUCUCUGCAUCCAGUUGAUUAAACACUUGCAUGGUAGUUUUAUCGUUAUGUUAUUGCCUGGUAUUUAUUAUUGAUGCUAGUGGUCAUGU